rnacentral:rRNA from 1 species
AUAAUAAUUAGUCUUUUAAUUAAAGGCUGGAAUGAAUGAUUGAACGAAAUAAAUUCUGUCUCAUUUAAAUUAAAAUUUAAAAUUAAUUUUUGAGUUAAAAAGCUUAAAUAAAAUUAUAGGACGAGAAGACCCUAUAGAGCUUUAUAAUAAAUAAUUAAUAAAUUUUAAUUUAAUUUUAUUAAUUAAAAAUUAUUUUAUUGGGGCGAUAAGAAAAUUUAAUUAACUUUUUUAAAUUUAUUACAUAAAUUAAUGAUUUUUUGAUCCUAUUUUUUAGAUUAUUAGAUUAAGUUACCUUAGGGAUAACAGCGUUAUUUUUUUUUAGAGUUCAUAUUAAUAAAAAAGAUUGC